GCCUGGGUGGCUCAGUGGGUUGAGCAUCCGACUUCGGCUCGGGUCAUGAUCUCACAGCUCGUGGGUUCGAGCCCCGCGUCGGGCU
rnacentral:tRNA from 1 species